rnacentral:rRNA from 1 species
CAGCAGCCGCGGGAAUACGUAGGUCCCGAGCGUUGUCCGGAUUUAUUGGGCGUAAAGCGAGCGCAGGCGGUUAGAUAAGUCUGAAGUUAAAGGCUGUGGCUUAACCAUAGUACGCUUUGGAAACUGUUUAACUUGAGUGCAAGAGGGGAGAGUGGAAUUCCAUGUGUAGCGGUGAAAUGCGUAGAUAUAUGGAGGAACACCGGUGGCGAAAGCGGCUCUCUGGCUUGUAAUUGACGCUGAGGCUCGAAAGCGUGGGGCGCAAACAGGUUUAGAUACCCCAGUAGUCCCUGUCUCUUUACAC